rnacentral:rRNA from 1 species
CGUGGGCAAUCUGCCCUGCACUCUGGGACAAGCCCUGGAAACGGGGUCUAAUACCGGAUACUGAUCAUCUUGGGCAUCCUUGGUGAUCGAAAGCUCCGGCGGUGCAGGAUGAGCCCGCGGCCUAUCAGCUUGUUGGUGAGGUAACGGCUCACCAAGGCGACGACGGGUAGCCGGCCUGAGAGGGCGACCGGCCACACUGGGACUGAGACACGGCCCAGACUCCUACGGGAGGCAGCAGUGGGGAAUAUUGCACAAUGGGCGCAAGCCUGAUGCAGCGACGCCGCGUGAGGGAUGACGGCCUUCGGGUUGUAAACCUCUUUCAGCAGGGAAGAAGCGCAAGUGACGGUACCUGCAGAAGAAGCGCCGGCUAACUACGUGCCAGCAGCCGCGGUAAUACGUAGGGCGCGAGCGUUGUCCGGAAUUAUUGGGCGUAAAGAGCUCGUAGGCGGCUUGUCGCGUCGGUUGUGAAAGCCCGGGGCUUAACCCCGGGUCUGCAGUCGAUACGGGCAGGCUAGAGUUCGGUAGGGGAGAUCGGAAUUCCUGGUGUAGCGGUGAAAUGCGCAGAUAUCAGGAGGAACACCGGUGGCGAAGGCGGAUCUCUGGGCCGAUACUGACGCUGAGGAGCGAAAGCGUGGGGAGCGAACAGGAUUAGAUACCCUGGUAGUCCACGCCGUAAACGGUGGGCACUAGGUGUGGGCGACAUUCCACGUCGUCCGUGCCGCAGCUAACGCAUUAAGUGCCCCGCCUGGGGAGUACGGCCGCAA